rnacentral:rRNA from 1 species
GCAAUGGGGAAUUUUGGACAAUGGGCGCAAGCCUGAUCCAGCAAUGCCGCGUGAGUGAAGAAUGCCUUCCGGUUGUAAAGCUCUUUUGUCAGGGAAGAAACGGGAUUGGAUAAUACCUAGUCCUAAUGACGGUACCUGAAGAAUAAGCACCGGCUAACUACGUGCCAGCAGCCGCGGUAAUACGUAGGGUGCAAGCGUUAAUCGGAAUUACUGGGCGUAAAGCGUGCGCAGGCGGUUUUGUAAGUCUGACGUGAAAGCCCCGGGCUCAACCUGGGAAUUGCGUUGGAGACUGCAAGGCUUGAAUCUGGCAGAGGGGGGUAGAAUUCCACGUGUAGCAGU